rnacentral:rRNA from 1 species
GAUGAACGCUGGCGGCGUGCUUAACACAUGCAAGUCGAACGGUGAAGGCGGAGCUUGCUCUGCUGGAUCAGUGGCGAACUGGUGAGUAACACGUGAGCAAUCUGCCCCUGACUCUGGGAUAAGCGCUGGAAACGGCGUCUAAUACUGGAUACGAGCUGCGAAGGCAUCUUCAGCAGCUGGAAAGAAUUUCGGUCAGGGAUGAGCUCGCGGCCUAUCAGCUUGUUGGUGAGGUAAUGGCUCACCAAGGCGUCGACGGGUAGCCGGCCUGAGAGGGUGACCGGCCACACUGGGACUGAGACACGGCCCAGACUCCUACGGGAGGCAGCAGUGGGGAAUAUUGCACAAUGGGCGAAAGCCUGAUGCAGCAACGCCGCGUGAGGGACGACGGCCUUCGGGUUGUAAACCUCUUUUAGCAGGGAAGAAGCGAAAGUGACGGUACCUGCAGAAAAAGCGCCGGCUAACUACGUG